GGAGGGUGUACUUGGACAACCAGAGCUUAGCUAAACACAGAUAUAGCAUCUCCCUUACACUGAGAAGUUACCCGUGCAAACCGGGUCGUUCUGACGCCCAACAGC
rnacentral:rRNA from 1 species